rnacentral:rRNA from 1 species
CCUACGGGUGGCAGCAGUGGGGAAUAUUGCACAAUGGGGGAAACCCUGAUGCAGCGACGCAGCGUGAGUGAUGAAGUAUUUCGGUACGUAAAGCCCUAUUAGCAGGGAAGAAAAACAGUCCUUUGAACUUUGGACGGUACCUGACCAAGAAGCCCCGGCUAACUACGGGCCAGCAGCCGCGGUAAUAAGUAGGGGGCAAGGGUUAUCCGGAUUUACUGGGUGUAAAGGGAGCGUAGGCGGCAGCGCAAGUCUGGAGUGAAAUGCCGGGGCCCAACCCCGGAACUGCUUUGGAAACUGUGCAGCUUGAGUGCAGGAGAGGUAAGCGGAAUUCCUAGUGUAGCGGUGAAAUGCGUAGAUAUUAGGAGGAACACCAGUGGCGAAGGCGGCUUACUGGACUGUAACUGACGUUGAGGCUCGAAAGCGUGGGGAGCAAACAGGAUUAGAUACCCCAGUAGUC